GUAAGGUGCAAGCGUUAAUCGGAAUUACUGGGCGUAAAGCGUGCGCAGGCGGUUAUGCAAGACAGAGGUGAAAUCCCCGGGCUCAACCUGGGAACUGCCUUUGUGACUGCAUGGCUAGAGUACGGUAGAGGGGGAUGGAAUUCCGCGUGUAUCAGUGAAAUGCGUAGAUAUGCGGAGGAACACCGAUGGCGAAGGCAAUCCCAUGGACCUGUACUGACGCUCAUGCACGAAAGCGUGGGGAGCAAACAGGAUUAGAUACCCUGUAGUCCACGCCCUAAACGAUGUCAACUGGUUGUUGGGAGGGUUUCUUCUCAGUAACGUAGCUAACGCGUGAAGUUGACCGCCUGGGGAGUACGGCCGCAAGGUUG
rnacentral:rRNA from 1 species